UGUUUUCAAUUGCACCCUGCUGGAUCAAAGAAAACCAUUAAGUACAUCUAAUGAUUUUGGAGUACAACUCACAGAAACCAUUUCCACUGCAAAAUGGUUUUAGAGUCCAACUCACAAAAACUAUUUUCACUGCAAAAUAGUUUUGGCAUAAUGGGCUGGGAUUUAUGCAGGGUGCAUAAGGAUUCC
rnacentral:pre_miRNA from 1 species